AUAUGCAUGACUCUUGGCAACGGAUAUCUAGGCUCUCGCGUCGAUGAAGAACGUAGCGAAAUGCGAUACUUGGUGUGAAUUGCAGAAUCCCGUGAACCAUCGAGUCUUUGAACGCAAGUUGCGCCUAAGACCAUCAGGUCAAGGGCACGUCUGCUUGGGCGUCA
rnacentral:rRNA from 3 species